ensembl:piRNA 21ur-5104 ncRNA
AGAAGCAUAUUUAGAUGUUCG